UUGAUCAUAUACUUUGACAGAAAAGUAAUGUCAAGCGAGGCAGGUCCUAUACAAUAAUUGGUCUGAGGAAAGAACAGAUGUUAUCUGUUGUAUUGUUAUACUUAUACUUGUAAAACUAAAACUUUAAUUGUGGACGGCUUAAAAAAAAGAUUUGGGAGUGUCGAGCAAGUUCAUUUGUUGGCUGCUGCGACCAUUUUAGAUCCUAGAUUUAAAAAAAUUCAUUUUACUGACCAUGUAGCCUGUUCAAGAGCGAUAAAUAGAAUCAACACUGCAAUUUCAGAUAUUACUCAGCAACAACUUCCACAAAAUAAUAUUGAGGAUGUCGACUCUAUAGAAGGUACUGAUAAUGAUAUGAAUAAAGGAAUUUGGGAUUUUCAUAAGUUACUUGUGAAAAAGCAACUUUCUUCGUGUAAUGCACUUGCACAGGAAAGUCAAGGCUUAAAUGAAGAAUUCAAACAUUAUUUAUCGCAGGCAGUUGUGCACCUGAAGUAUGACUUUACUGGCAAGAACAAAAAAACUCUAUUUAUCACCACGUUUAUUCAAUAGCCAUGAUGUAUAUGAGUAUUGUAGGAUCAUCUGUUCCUUGUGAGCGCCUUUUUUCAAUUGCCGGAAACAUCGCAAGUGAUGAACGGAACCGCUUGGAUCCCAGUAGACUCGACAGACUUUUGUUUUUAAAAAGUUUAGAUAUUAAGCAUUGGGAACUAUAAGCUAAAGUACCUAUUUGUUUUGUAAAUAAUAAAUUUUGAAAAUAAUGUCUUGUUUUCUACCUGAUCUGAUACUUUGAUAUGGAAAUAAAAAUAAUUGUUAUUAUCGAAUUCCCUGAUUUUACUGAUUAAAAGAUCGUUAAUUAUAACAUUUGCCUUGUUUUUAAUAAAAUUGAUUUAUAAGUACAUUGUAAAAGCGAAUUUGAAAAAAGAUCGAUUUUUCGAAAAUCGAUCUUUUAGACCUCGAUUUUUUUGUAGAUCGAUUCGUCAGGUCACGAUUCGAAUCGAUCUAAAAAUCGAUCUUUUUCGGAAAGAAUCGCCAUCCCUACAUAAUAGCCAACAUUAUAUAUUGGCUGUGGCCUGUGGCAGUGAAGCUUGUCUAUUUUAAGCAAUGACCCAAUAAUACUUGUAAUAGGGCUGGCAGAAUAGUGUUACUGUAGUUUUAAAAAACAGAAGAAAGUAUGUUCCACUGUCUUUACUGAAGGUACCUACUGUACUUUCGACGUGGGCUUUAUCAGACGCAUGUCUAGAAUAUAUGACAAGAGUCAAGACUACAUGUAUUAUAUACUCAAGUAAUGUAAUUAAAAGCUAUAAAACUUA
rnacentral:lncRNA from 1 species